rnacentral:rRNA from 1 species
CAGUCGCCGCGGUAAUACGAAGGGGGCUAGCGUUGUUCGGAUUUACUGGGCGUAAAGCGCACGUAGGCGGACUUUUAAGUCAGGGGUGAAAUCCCGGGGCUCAACCCCGGAACUGCCUUUGAUACUGGGAGUCUUGAGUUCGAGAGAGGUGAGUGGAAUUGCGAGUGUAGAGGUGAAAUUCGUAGAUAUUCGCAGGAACACCAGUGGCGAAGGCGGCUCACUGGCUCGAUACUGACGCUGAGGUGCGAAAGCGUGGGGAGCAAAUGGGAUUAGAUACCCGCGUAGUCCCUGUCUCUUAUAA